AGGGAAUCUUCGGCAAUGGGGGCAACCCUGACCGAGCAACGCCGCGUGAGUGAAGAAGGUUUUCGGAUCGUAAAGCUCUGUUGUAAGUCAAGAACGGGUGUGAGAGUGGAAAGUUCACACUGUGACGGUAGCUUACCAGAAAGGGACGGCUAACUACGUGCCAGCANCGCCGNGUAAUACGUAGGUCCCGAGCGUUGUCCGGAUUUAUUGGGCGUAAAGCGAGCGCAGGCGGUUUGAUAAGUCUGAAGUUAAAGGCUGUGGCUCAACCAUAGUUCGCUUUGGAAACUGUCAAACUUGAGUGCAGAAGGGGAGAGUGGAAUUCCAUGUGUAGCGGUGAAAUGCGUAGAUAUAUGGAGGAACACCGGUGGCGAAAGCGGCUCUCUGGUCUGUAACUGACGCUGAGGCUCGAANGCGUGGGGAGCGAACAGGAUUAGAUACCCUGGUAGUCCACGCCGUAAACGAUGAGUGCUAGGUGUUGGAUCCUUUCCGGGAUUCAGUGCCGAAGCUAACGCAUUAAGCACUCCGCCUGG
rnacentral:rRNA from 1 species